rnacentral:piRNA from 1 species
GUUCGGAUUCGGGUUCGGAGUAUGGG